rnacentral:rRNA from 1 species
UACAGAGGUCUCAAGCGUUGUUCGGAUUCAUUGGGCGUAAAGGGUGCGUAGGCGGCGCGGUAAGUCGGGUGUGAAAUUUCGGAGCUUAACUCCGAAACUGCAUUUGAUACUGGUGUGCUUGAGGACUGGAGAGGAGACUGGAAUUCAUGGUGUAGCAGUGAAAUGCGUAGAGAUCAUGAGGAAGACCAGUGGCGAAGGCGGGUCUCUGGACAGUUCCUGACACUGAGGCACGAAGGCCAGGGGAGCAAACGGG